GUCUCGAUUCCUUUAGGUUUCUUGAAUUCUCUCUUCCUUUUCGCUAUCCUUUGCUGAUUUUCUGUAUGAAUCAGAAAAUUGGGGAAAAGAAGAUGACGUUUUAUAGCUUUGGAUUUGUUUAUUUAUUUAUGGUUAUUAUGAUCUGUGGUCGCAUGUGGAAGUAUUUCUAUUAUCCUGUUGCAAGAACUGUAAGCUGUAAAAGACAUAGGCUUUGAGAGAAUUAGGGAUUUUUCACCUAAAUAGGUUAACCCUUUGGAUUCCGACUCUCUGACACAAAUUUGAUUCUGUAACAGAAUCUUGCUUAUUGUCGAUGGUGGCAUUGAGAUUGUCUGUCUUGAAUAGCGGUACUCAGAUUGUCUUUUGGGAUUGGGAAUUGUUGAAGCUCCUUGUCUGAAUUGGAAGCUAAUGUCUUUGUUUUGGUUGUCUGUCACUGAAGACAAUCUCAAUGGCGGCAUUGAGGUUGUCUGUCUUGAGUAUCGGUACUGAGGUUGUCUUUCGGGAUUGGGAAUUGUUGAAUCGUUGGAGCUUGUUGUCUGAAUUGGAAGCUGAUGUCUUUGUCUUGGUUGUCUGCCACUGAAGACUAACGGUUGUGGUCUAUCUUAACCGUUAUGAUUGCUUCUGCCUGUGUUCGUUCUGCAUCAGUCUCAUGUGUUGGUUUUCUUGAUCUUUUGGACUAAUAUUGUUCUCGGAUGUAUCUAUGUAGUAGUUUUUCAUUUUAUUUUUUUCAUAGGUAAGCUGGGCUCGAACCUGAUACCUCUAUGUUGAAAUGUCCUGUCUACCAUUGUGCUAGGAGCUUGAAACCUAUCUGUUUGGAUUUGACAUGAAUAGGGGACUCAUUUGCUGACUUAGUUUUUGGAGUCUCCUCUGGCAGAAUGUUUUUAAUUUAAUUUUAUUUAUUUGGUAUGGAUUACGUCAAGUCAUUGUUAUCGGUUAAGAAUAACUGAAAUUGGGAUCCUUAAAGUGAUAUUCCUUCAUGAUAAGGAUGGGAUUGGACUCUUUGAAAACUCGUCUCUCACCUCCAUAGUACUCGUUUUGUUUCACACAGUUUUUGGGACCAUCAUGCACUGCCAUUAGGUUCUCUGUGAUUGUUGGCCUAUAUGUUGUGUUCCCAUGUUUUCGAUGGCUUUGGCCUUUACAUUGAUUACUCCAUAUUGUGGCUUCUAUGAUCCCAUAGACCCAACAAACCCAAGAAGGCCUCGAUCCGCAAUUCGGUGACGGAUGUUUGUAUAACCGAGUCCAUUUCAUUCAUUUUCAAUUGAUUCUUGUUUAUGUUAUGGUUCAAUUAGUUGCCGGUGGUGACACUAGCUUGGUUGUUCAGUUGAAACUUGAAACGUGUUAGUACUGCCAUUUAAAGUAGUUAAAAAUUCUAAAUAUAGCCAGAUGACUAACCCAAUUGGAUGCUGUGACGGUAACAUAUAAGAUGCAUGGAGAUUAUUUUCAUUUGGAAAAUGGAGUAUUUUUGGUUUGCAAAAAUGGAAUUCUUGCAUGCAAACUGGGAACGCAAAGAUCACAUAUAUAAUGUUCACAUAACUUCAUUGGUUAAUGUUCAAUGGUAGACAGGGUGUGUUUCAAUAUUGAGAUCUCAGGCUUGAGCCUAGCUUACCUAUAAAAAAAAAAAAGAAAAAAAGAGAGGAAAAAACGGAAAAAAGAAGAAGAGAUUCCAUCCAUACAAUUAACUAUACAUCACACACACACAAUGUAGCAUGGAAUGUGUACAAUUUAUCAGGUAAGAGCAUGAAGUUGGUGGAUACAAUGAAAAAGAGCAAGGUUAAUAUACUUGCAGGCAACAGUGGAAUGAGCAAUUGUUGUAUAUAAGAAAGGGCAAUGGUAAGAAUGGUUAGGUACAUUGAUGAUAAAGACAUGAAGAAUAGCAUAGUGGAGGUUAAGAGAAUGGGUGAUAGACUUAUGGCAGUCAAAUUGAUUUCGGGUGAGGAUAUAUUUUAUAUAGUGCAUAUGCACCUUAGGUAGGACUUUAGGUAGGACAAGAAGAAAGUAUCAAAAGGCAAUUUUAUGAAGUGGUGGCUGAGCUAAUAUUGAACUGUUUGAUGGGGAAAGGGUUUUUAUAGGUGGUACUUGGAUGGGCAUGUGGGGAAGGAUGGAGGCGUAUGAUAGGGUACAUGGUGGACGUGGGUUUGAGGGAAAGAUGAGUCUGGAGAGGCGACUCUUGAGUUUUCAGUGGCUAUCACUGAGCAAUAGUGAAUAGUUAUUUUAUAAAGAGAGAUGAGCAUCAUGGGUUUUGAAUUUCGGUUACAUUACGGUCAGACCAGCCAUUACGUAACCAUAUUGGCCACCCUUGUUACGCGUUAUGGGGGUGAACCAGUCUUUUAAGAAAAGAAUGGGUCUUAUUGCCCUGUAUCAGUCACCCUUGUUAUGUGUUAUGGGGGUGAACCGGUCUUUUAAGAAAAGAAUGGGCCGUAUCGCCAUGUCUCCAUUACAGGCUGAUACACCUCAUAACAGCGGCACCGAUAUAGGAUCAUUACGGCCGAUAGGCUGAUACAACCAUAAAAGCCCUGUUUUGAAAUUUUAUUUUCAAAUAUUCUCUCAAUUUCCAUAUCUUUCUUAUUUCAACCACAAAGAAAGCUUAGAAACUAAUUUUAGACCAGAUCUAGGCAUAUUUUGAGGAUAAAACAUAAGAUUUGAGCGGGAUUAAAUGAACUGAAGCAGAAUGGAACAUUUUGGGAAAAGUUGGAAGAAAGGGUAAAUCAUCAUUU